ensembl:antisense BC051226 cDNA sequence BC051226
CCGUACGGCACCGGCCUGCUCCGCGGCGAGGCGUGGAGCUCUUUGCACCAGGAGCUUGCCGAAGCCGCUCGGCCAAUCAGAAACUCCAGCCUCAGACCUGCCCCACAACCCCAAGCCAUCGCGUGGAGUCGCAUCGGAGCCGCGGAGAAAAGGAAGAGGGGGAAACCACUGUGAUGCCCGCCCGGCCCAGGGUGGGGAGGCAAGGUCCGCAGGUGUUGAUGAGGAAGCCUGAACGUCAACACUCUGCGCGGAGACUUCGGCUCUGCAGCCUUCCUUCCACGGUGGUGGGCAUCUUGCCAAUUUGCAGGACCAAGAAAGAAGCCCAGCUGCUCUCAGAGGACCCGAACUUCAAAUUUAAACCCACCUCCUCUCAUUGUGUCCGGCCUUCUGGGCUUACAGCAUUUCAAUAGGAGCGGGGUGGGGUGGGGUG